CCCUUAGAUGUCCUGGGCCGCACGCGCGCUACACUGAGUGUCUGAGAUACGAGUCUGCCUGGUCCGGCAAGGUCUAGGUAAUCGCUAAAAGACACAUCAUGCUUGGGAUCGAUUAUUGCAAAUAUUAAUCUUGAACGAGGAAUUCCUAGUAAGCGCAAGUCAACAGCUUGCGUUGAUUACGUCCCUGCCCUUUGUACACACCGCCCGUCGCUACUACUGAUUGGAUGUUUAAGCGAGGUUCUCGAACUGCUAGCGACUUAGCUUCGGUGAGGUCGCAGUGUGGGAAGUGAACCUAGCUUUGGUGUCUAGAGGAAGUAAAAGUCGUAACA
rnacentral:rRNA from 1 species